GUGAUACUGUUUGUGUCUCAGUUCUGAGCAGGUUUAUUGAUCUGAUAUCUGAGUGUAUGUGACAGGAAACAGAAAGUAGUGAUCAGUCAGUAAAUUCAUGAAGAAGAAGAAGAAGAGGGUUUCCUACACAGGACUAUUCUUUGGAAUGCAAUAAUGUACUACAGUCAGUUACAACUGCUGAACUGCUGUUCAAGACCUUUGCAGCGGAGCUAACGUGGUGUCCCGGGUUUCAGAUUCUCAUCUGGUUCCUGCCAGAUGAAGAAGAAACCCUGUCCUACAGAAAACAAUGACUACAGACCAGUGGCUUUAACUUUAACUUACAUGGUAUCCGUGUUGAAAUCUGAAGUUAAUUCUGAACUAGAUCCACUCCAGUUUGCUCAUAGGCAGAGGAAGAGUACAUCAUCACCCACCUGAGUCUUCAGCGUCUGGAGGA